UGCGCGGCGGGGAGCAAGCCGGGCACAGCCCGGGCCGUGCCUGAGUUCUGAUGAUCUGUAUAAUCCUGUUAACUGUCUGGGCGCUCAAGCAUGGCCUGUUGGAAGAAAACCUCAGAACAGCAACAGUCAAACGUUCAGGUGGACAACGAGGAAUCUGAUUGCUAAUUCUCGGCUAGAGCUCCUAUGCAGAAAAGACCCAGAAGAUGAGCAGACCUUGAAUUAAAUGGGAUUUAAGGCUUUGAGAAACAAAGG